AUUUGUACCGACCUCAUUGAUGGCAAAAUAACACAGUAUAUUUUUUUGUGCAAUGCCCGAGCUAUGUCGUAAAAUGCUACAAAAUUCUUAAGGAUGAAGAGCGAUUUCAUCAUAGUCUACAUGCUGUCGUGAAACACUCAAAGUACAUCAUGGUCAACCUUGGCUCAGGUAUUUUCAUGGGCCAAGAUAAAUGGAAGCGGCUGCUGUAGGAGAAAAAAGACUCCCUCUUUGUGCGAGAGACCGACAAGGCGUUGAGGGGCAUCAAAGAGUUGUACAACCGUAGUAUAACUGGUGUCCUAUGCCUGUGGUUUAUCAACAAGGAGGGAGGCCCUGCUGUUCCAGAAAAAGGAGCGCUAUCUCCUGUAAAAUUGCACGCACUGCGAAAUGCGUUCGACCUGCACGUCGACGCACAUCCGACUGCGGCAACGAAGGCGGAGCGCCAGAGAUGCGUCAACAUGCACCUCGCAGAUAUGC